AUACGUAGGGGGCUAGCGUUAUCCGGAAUUACUGGGCGUAAAGGGAGCGUAGGCGGAGAUUCAAGCGGAUUGUACAAUCCCGGGGCCCAACCCCGGCUCUGCAGUCCGAACUGGAUCUCUUGGAUAGUUCAGGGGCAGGCGGAAUUCCUGGUGUAGCGGUGGAAUGCGUAGAGAUCAGGAAGAACAACGAUGGCGAAGGCAGCCUGCUGGGGACUUAUCGACGCUGAGGCUCGAAAGUGCGGGUAGCAAACAGGAUUAGAUACCCUGGUAGUCCGCACCGUAAACGAUGCAUACUGGGUGUCCGGGGGUUCCCCCGGGUACCGUAGCCAACGCGUUAAGUAUGCCGCCUGGGGAGUACGGCCGCAAGGUUGAAACUCAAAUGAAUUGGCGGGG
rnacentral:rRNA from 1 species